GGGCUGAAGGCUUUAACCAUACAGAAUUCUCCGAAGUUUCUGUUCAGGUGAAGAUAGCGUGAUGGGUGGGGGAGACUGAUGAAAAUUCCUAUAAGCAGGGUAGGAGGAAGAAGACCAUGAGCAGGAAGGCCGAGAAACCAAAUUCAAGCCUCGACGGUAAUAAGUCGAGUAAAGGAAUUGCGAGGGCACCAAAUUCCUCAAAGCGCCACACAAUCCAUCGGAGCCGCAAGAAUUGGUUGUUCGGUGCGCUUUCUCAUUCGCUCAAAUUGAUUUCUUGAUUGGUUUAUGAUGGAAGUCUUUGCUCAAUUAAUGUCUUAAUGAUAUGUAGUUAGGGUUUUAUAUUGCGACUGGUAUAGGCAUGUUUUAUGACUUUAGAAGGAAAACCUUGUAGGAAGCAGGUUGAUCUUGAAACGGCCAAGCUUUUUAAUUUCUUUUAAAUGUUUCAAAUACCCAACAAACUGUAAACAUCCCAAUAGAACUUGACCAAAUGGAAUGGAGGAGGCUAUGGUUGACCAACUUCUCCCCCCCUUACUCACCCAGAAAGCAUUUAUUCACCAAACACCACUUCUUUUAUGUAAGCUAUGAAUACAUAGUUUCCUCUCCCAAGAUGCUUCCCAUAUGAGAUAAGUAACUUAUGGAGGUGAGUUUUGUUUCCCAAUCCAUCUCUACAAUAAUUUCUUCCAGUGGCUUCAAUAUCCUUCUAGAGCAUCCCACAAUGAAAUUUUAACUUCAAACAGUCAUUUUCUAGUAGGCUUCUAGAUAAUGCGGUAUUUUGUUUGAGAAUUUACACUUUAGCUUCUGCUGCACCCUUUUGAACUUGUUGGGGUCUAAGCGCCAAAGAGAACAAGUGCAACAGCAUGGUGAAAAAAUUGACAAACCUGGCGCUAGUGAUAUCCCAACCCAAAAAGGCAAGAAGAGGAAAGAACAAGAAUCAUGGUGGGUCAGAGAGUGCUCCAUCAUAAAGAGAAUAGCAAAGCGCCGGAGCCCAUCGGCAACAAUUACAGUCCAUCAAAAUCGGCUGACAAAAAGGGGAAAAAACUACACGGAAAGGAUAUUAUGGAAAAGGUUCAAACAAAAAGAUGAAAGCAUGAAGAUAUGAGUGAGUGACCUACUUCUCACUUUCUUAUACCUGACUGAAGCUUCGGAGACCAACUUAACUAGAUAAGUUAUGUCUGUUGUAAAACAAUUGCCAUUUGUUGUCUUUAUAUGUAUUUCUUAUUGUCGAGUCUUUUUGAAUUGAGAGCUGAGAACAUUCUCAUUCAACUUUUAAUUUAGAACAGUUUAUGCAAACAAACUGCUGGAAACCAUCUUUUGCAUUAAUGCAGAACUGAGAAUUUACAUUUGACAGCUGAACCAGGAAAUUGAUUUCCUCAUGAAGCAAGAAAUUGUGUUUCAUAUUUUCAUUCAAAAGAGCAAUACAUGUGUCUCUGAAGCGAAAACUAUCCUACACGAGCAAACGGUAUAGUACUAAACGAAUAAGGAAUAAUACAACGGUGUUGCAGCAUCAUUUGCAUCUUCUACUUCCUUCAGCCUUGCAAUCGAGGGUGCAACCUGGCACAAAAACAGGGUAUGUAAAUCAACUAUGGGAAUGCUGCAAACCUUGAGAAGACUGCAAACUGUUUUUAGCAGAAGUUACUUGUUCUGUAUGGGAUUUGAAAAACUUGGAGAUGAAUCCAUGGUUGAUGUUGAGGAAGACCCUUGAACAAGUGGACGGCCUGCGGCUUGAGUUUUGCCAAGCGAGCUAGACAGAAGUAGUGAAAGAAGAAGAACUAGAGCAGCAAAUGAUAUCCAGUAGGCCUUCAUGAAGCUUUGUUAGCAAAAAUGGCUUUGAAGCUGCUGAUCAAGUGUGCUGGUUCAAAUUACCGAAAGGGCACUUGCUGCAUGUGCUUUGCUAAUUGCUUGUGUGAGUUUAAAAGACCAAAAGUAUUCAGAAAGACUAUAAAACUAUGUACAAUUCCUUGAUAUUAGAGCUUCAGAUUUCACAUUUGCUAGGUCUCUAUCUACUACUCUCACAACUAUUGCCAGCUUGCUCUUUUACAUAAAUAAAUGCAAAAUGUUAUUAUUUAAUGUAGUAGACAUGAAAUAAACAACAGUAAAAAAAAAAACUAUGUAACAUUAGCAUGGGAGAAUCCUAUGUUAUGAAUGAUUUUUGAGGGUAUAUGUGUUGUUUUAAUGAAUAUUUUUUAGGAGGAUAUUGGGAUCAUGUGAUUGAUCACUAGUUUCUUUAUUCAGUACUAGACAGGAAAAAUAUAAAAUAGAAUGGUAGAAAAUAGGGCUGUAAUUCGGGCCAGCGGCCUGGCCCAACACCUCUUAGCGGGCUGGGUCGGGGUUUAUGGCUUUGAUCUGUUCUUGGAAGAACUGUUAAAUUUCCAUCUUGAUCAGGAGAGGAAUAAGAUCGUAUGAUACUAAUUGAGAGUGUUAUUCGGUUAUGGCUUUGAUAAGUUCUUGGAAGAAGUAGAGAGCACGCGAGACAAGUAACUUUCAAUGAUAGGGCUACUAUUAUGCUG